UCUCAAAAAUAGUACUAAAGAUCUAAUGAGUAUCAGAACCAAGAAAGUUAUAUACAAUGAGAAUGUACAGAAAUGGCCCAGAUCACAGUUGAACAUGCAAUCGUUCAUAUUUAUUAAAUGUGUACCAUGUGUAUUAUCUUUAAAACUUAUUUUAAUAAGAAUGCUUCAGGAUAUUUUUAUCCUUAUUUUACCCAUGUAGAAAUGGAGGUUCAAAAAGUCAAAGGAUUUUCCCAGUAACUCAACUAUUAGAUGACAGAGAGGAGGUUCCAGCCAAGACCAUGCAGAUUUCUGCCCGACUCAGCAGCCUUGGAGACCUAGGAACUAGCUUCCUCAUCUACUGACUCUACUGCCCCAUUGUAGAGAUGAAGAAAUUGAGCAACACUCAAGAUGGAGGACAACAACAUCUCACACCCCGCCUUCCUCAGUGUUGGAGCAAGGAUUUGACAUUCUCCUCAUUUUCUACUUUCAGUUAAUUUUAUAUUCUCUCAUCAGAAAGAGAUCCAGAAGUAGAAAAGGAAAUCAUACUUGAAGUUCUACCUCCACGUCACCUACUCUGUCGUGGUUCCCUGAUGACUUCCUCGAAACAGGCAGUCAGACCUCCUGCUCUACCACCGUACAUUAUAGUUCUCUUGUUUUUGUUUUGUUUUUCUUUAGUCACAGGGCUGAAAUUAUUUACUGAUCUGAUUUCUUCAUUAGAAUAUGAUUUUCAUGAGGAGAUAUUUUCUUCACAGUUGUAUCUCCAGAACCUAGCACAGAAAAUGAUCAGCAUAGACACCAAUAAAGCUUCUGAAUUAAAUAAUUAUGCAGAAGUGUUGCCAUCUCUAAUAUUAAAAUGUCACUUAUUUAUUAAUGUUUUCUUGGACUACUGCCAUUUUCUUUUUGGAGGUUGAAACUUUAUAAAUUUACCAAGUUAGGUGAACUCAUGGCUAUUUUUUUCUAGUGUUAAAAACAAUCCAUAGUGUUCAUUCAUCCAAAUCCCCACAUAUACUCAAAGAGCACCUCUGCUGUAGCAAGCACUGUGCUAGGUACAGGGGAUCGGUGGUGAAAAUGACUGAUAAAAGUCCUCCUCCUGUGUAACUUACCUCUUGGUGGAGAAUAAAUAAUAAACAAAUAAAUUUAAAAACAUAUAGUCUCAGCCAAUGGUAAGGUAGGAAGAAAAUUAAAAUCAGGCAAUAUAAUACAGGAAGUACUGUUUCAUAUUAGGAUGACCAUGAAAAGUGUUCUUUGAUGGGGUAGAGAGACUAUUAAUGAAGUUGUUCAGAAAUAGGUGAAUACAUAGGGAAAACAGAUGCAUGAGCCAACUUUGAACAGAUUGGGAGAAAUGCCCUUGAUACAACUUUCAUUUUGUAAUUUCUUAGCACAUUAGUGGAUAAGCAUACAGAAUGCCCCUUUCCACCAAAAAAAAAAAAAAUACAGACACAAACGAUGGAUGUUACAUUAUUUUCUUAAUAUAAAAACAUAGACUUUUACAAGAAUAGGUCUAUGGGCUAG